rnacentral:rRNA from 1 species
UGUCCUUAGUUGCCAGCACGUAAUGGUGGGAACUCUAAGAGACUGCCGGUGACAAACCGGAGGAAGGUGGGGACGACGUCAAGUCAUCAUGGCCCUUACGACCUGGGCUACACACGUGCUACAAUGGCCAGUACAGAGGCUGCAAGACCCGCGAGGGGGAGCUAAUCUCACAAAGCUGGUCGUAGUCCGGAUCGCAGUCUGCAACUCGACUGCGUGAAGUUGGAAUCGCUAGUAAUCGUGAAUCAGAAUGUCACGGUGAAUACGUUC